AUUGAACGCUGGCGGCAUGCCUUACACAUGCAAGUCGAACGGCAGCAUGGAGAGCUUGCUCUCUGAUGGCGAGUGGCGAACGGGUGAGUAAAGCAUCGGAACGUACCGUGUAAUGGGGGAUAACGUAGCGAAAGUUACGCUAAUACCGCAUACGACCUGAGGGUGAAAGCAGGGGAUCGCAAGACCUUGCGUUAUACGAGCGGCCGAUGUCAGAUUAGCUAGUUGGUAGGGUAAAGGCCUACCAAGGCGACGAUCUGUAGCGGGUCUGAGAGGAUGAUCCGCCACACUGGGACUGAGACACGGCCCAGACUCCUACGGUAGGCAGCAGUGGGGAAUUUUGGACAAUGGGCGCAAGCCUGAUCCAGCAAUGCCGCGUGCAGGAAGAAGGCCUUCGGGUUGUAAACUGCUUUUGUACGGAACGAAACGGCGAGCUCUAAUACAGUUUGCUAAUGACGGUACCGUAAGAAUAAGCACCGGCUAACUACGUGCCAGCAGCCGCAGUAA
rnacentral:rRNA from 1 species